rnacentral:rRNA from 1 species
AACGAACGCUGGCGGCGUGCUUAACACAUGCAAGUCGGACGGCAACGCCCUACUAUUGUGGUCUUCUCGAUUGCCGAACGCGUGCGUAACACGAAAAUAACCUACCCUUCACUUUCGGAUAACUUCAGGUAACUGAACCUAAUACCAUACAGCAUCCCCUGCUCCAUUGUGAGCGUUGGAUCUUUUCGGCGGUUGCGGAUGGACUCGCGGCUUAUCAGCUAGUUGGUGGGGUAGUGGCUUACCAAGGCGUUGACGGGUACCCGGCCUGAGUGGGUGACCGGCGACAUAGGGACUGAGAUGCGGCCGAGACGGCGACGAGAGGCAGCAGUGGGGAAUAUUGAACAAUGGGCGGAAGCCUGAUGAAGAAACGCCGCGGGCUGGAUGACGGCCUUGGUGUGGUAAAACGCUUUCGGGUGUAACGAAGCGUGAGUGACGGGAAUGGGUAAAAAAAGACCGGCUAACUACGUG